rnacentral:rRNA from 1 species
AACGAACGCUGGCGGCAUGCCUAACACAUGCAAGUCGAACGGGAUCCUGGUUUCGGCCAGGUGAGAGUGGCGGACGGGUGAGUAACGCGUGGGAACCUGCCCAGUGGUGGGGGAUAACUGCGGGAAACUGCAGCUAAUACCGCAUGAGCCCGAAAGGGGAGAGAUUGAUCGCCAUUGGAGGGGCCCGGCGUUCGAUUAGGUAGUUGGUGAGGUAACGGCUCACCAAGCCUUCGANCGAUAGCUGGUCUGAGAGGAUGAUCAGCCACACUGGGACUGAGAUACGGCCCAGACUCCUACGGGAGGCAGC